rnacentral:rRNA from 1 species
GCAAGUCGAGGGGUAACGAUGGUGCUUGCACCAGGCGACGACCGGCGAACGGGUGCGUAACGCGUAUGCAACCUACCUUAAACAGGGGAAUAGCCCAGAGAAAUUUGGAUUAAUGCCCCAUAACAUUAUGAUAUCGCAUGGUAUUAUAAUUAAAACUUUGGUGGUUUAAGAUGGGCAUGCGUGACAUUAGCUAGUUGGUAAGGUAACGGCUUACCAAGGCUGCGAUGUCUAGGGGUUCUGAGAGGAUUAUC